rnacentral:lncRNA from 1 species
ACCUGUCUGUGCCAAAUCAACAUACCCUCAUAAAAAGGAACCUUAAAUUCGAGAUGAAGAGGGACAAAGACUAGGAGAGAAGUAUAGGUUCAAGUAAAGAGUUCUUCAAAGAAGGUGGAUAAGGGUACAUAAAAAAUGGAAGGAUUGACCAGCCUGUAUCUGUCCUCCUCUAAUUGCUUCCUACACCAGAAAGAUAAGGUGAUGAACUUGGAUCUUUGGCAAAGGAAAGAAUCCUUUGGUGUUGAGAGGCUCUAA